rnacentral:rRNA from 1 species
UACGUAGGGGCCUAGCGUUGUCCGGAAUUAUUGGGCGUAAAGAGCUCGUAGGCGGUUUGUCGCGUCUGCUGUGAAAAUCCAGGGCUUAACCCUGGACCUGCAGUGGGUACGGGCAGACUAGAGUGCGGUAGGGGAGAUCGGAAUUCCUGGUGUAGCGGUGAAAUGCGCAGAUAUCAGGAGGAACACCGGUGGCGAAGGCGGAUCUCUGGGCCGUAACUGACGCUGAGGAGCGAAAGCAUGGGGAGCGAACAGG